CCCACUGCUCGUAAUGGAUACUAUCAUUAACUGAAUUCAUAGGUAUGAGGCGAACCGGGAGAACUGAAACAUCUAAGUACCCCGAGGAAAAGAAAUCAGCCGAGAUUCCCCUAGUAGCGGCGAGCGAACGGGGAGCAGCCCAGAGUCUUAAUCAAUGGCAGUGUCAGGAGAACGGUCUGGAAAGUCCGGCAGUAAAGGGUGAUA
rnacentral:rRNA from 1 species